rnacentral:lncRNA from 1 species
AUGUUAAAUGGUAUCUAUUGUAACCGUAUCUUUCAGUGUUGCAAAAAAAAAAAAAACCCUAAAACGCAGACGACGUUUUUACUCCAAAUGGGCGUGGUGUUGAAUGCAGUUUCUUUCUUCUGUGUCCUAGGAAACCCUGUGUUUACAGCGACGUCCAUUGAAACAAAUGCUACAGCAUAUAGUUCCAAUCGUCCCCUCGAGUUCUACACAGCAUCCAGUAUCAGAAUGCAUGGAAAUAAAGCAAGAAGAUUCACAAAGAUGCAAUAUCAAGAUCCACAAGACAAUGAAAUGGUUGAGAGGACAUAUAUCUCCUCUGAAAAACACACCAUCAACAGCAUAUUAAGGAACCUUGUCAGUAAUGUUGAGUUCAUUGCGAUUCUGCCUGGGGUCCUAAAGGUAAACUGGGACACUGAUGUCAUGGACAGUGAGGUGAUCAGAGCACUUCAGGAACAUCUAAUGUUAGAACAAAGGCUGGAGAUGCUAGAAGAUCGCAACUUGGUGUCAGAUGGGAAGAAUGAGAAUACUCAUCUUGAGAAAAAUCUGAAGAUCUCUUUGAAAAAUUUGCUCAGGCUCGUGAAAGCCCAUCCGCUUCUCCUUUCUGCUUGGAAGAAAGACUUGCCAAAGGAAAUAGGGAAAUGUGAAAGGUGCCUAAUCAAAGAGAUUCAUGUAUUGGAAGGUCUGGAACCCAGGCCACAGCAAGCUGCUCCUAAACUGCUACCUGUUUCCUAUGAGCUGAACGAUACUCCUUUACUACAAGACUUUCCUGCAACAAUAGAAGAAGUAACUACAAAGCAGAUUUUUCAGAAGAGUCAAGACAUUGAAACUUUGCAGAGUUCUCUGCAAAAGCAAAGAGGAGAGGAGAGUGCAUUGGAGGAGCAGCUACAGACCACUAUUGAGGAAUUGGAGACAGUGCAGAAAAAAUUACUUCAGGAAGUUGAUCAAAUGAGCACUGAGCUAAAUGAUCUAACACUGAGAAACUUUGAAGAAGAAGCUGCACUUCGACGAGAAAUCGUCAUGGUUGAUGCAGCUACUGCUCAUUUGAUUGAAGAUUUUGAUGAAGCAAUAGAGGCCCUGCAGGAGAGCUUUGAGAGGGUAACAAAGGAGUAUGAGCAGGAGGUAGAAGAAGUGGAAAGGCUGGAGAUGCUUUAUUCUGAACUAGAUGUAGAGUACAGAAACAUUUUGGAGAACCGCCGGCUUGCAGAGGAGAAGAAGGAGAAGGAAGCGAAGCAGCUAAUGUUAAUGACAGAAGCUGCUCUUCUUAUCCAAGCAUGCUGGAGAGGCUAUGGUGUCCGCAAGGCCUUGAAGGAGAGAGGGAAAAAAGGCAAAGGCAAAAAGGGCAAAAAAGGUAAAGGAUCCAAGGGGAAGAAAAAAGCAGGCAAAAAGUCAUAG